AAGUCGUAACAAGGUAACCGUAGGUGAACCUGCGGUUGGAUCAUUACUGAUUACCACCUUUUGGGUUGAUUCGAAAGAGUCCCCUUGAGGUGAUCAACCCUUUGUGCACAAUUAUGUUUUUUGGGUCUUUGCUUACUGACUUUCGAGUCUUAAGGCCCAGCCAUUAUACAAACCUUUUAAAUUUGACUGAAUCCUAUGAAAAUAGAAACAACUUUUGACAACGGAUCUCUUGGCUCUC
rnacentral:misc_RNA from 1 species